UACGGAGGGGGCUAGCGUUGUUCGGAAUUAUUUGGGCGUAAAGCGCGCGUAGGCGGCUUGGCAAGUCGGAUGUGAAAUCCCUCGGCUCAACCGAGGAACUGCAUCCGAUACUGGCGGGCUUGAAUCCGGGAGAGGGAUGUGGAAUUCCAGGUGUAGCGGUGAAAUGCGUAGAUAUCUGGAGGAAUACCGGUGGCGAAGGCGGCAUCCGUGGACCGGCAUUGACGCUGAGGAGCGAAAGCUAGGGAGCAACGGGAUAAGAACCCAG
rnacentral:rRNA from 1 species